rnacentral:rRNA from 1 species
AGCGAACGCUGGCGGCAGGCCUAACACAUGCAAGUCGAACGAACUCUUCGGAGUUAGUGGCGGACGGGUGAGUAACACGUGGGAACGUGCCUUUAGGUUCGGAAUAACUCAGGGAAACUUGUGCUAAUACCGAAUGUGCCCUUCGGGGGAAAGAUUUAUCGCCUUUAGAGCGGCCCGCGUCUGAUUAGCUAGUUGGUGAGGUAAAGGCUCACCAAGGCGACGAUCAGUAGCUGGUCUGAGAGGAUGAUCAGCCACAUUGGGACUGAGAACACGGCCCAAACCCCUACGGGAGGCAGCAGUGGGGAAUCUUGCGCAAUGGGCGAAAGCCUGACGCAGCCAUGCCGCGUGAAUGAUGAAGGUCUUAGGAUUGUAAAAUUCUUUCACCGGGGACGAUAAUGACGGUACCCGGAGAAGAAGCCCCGGCUAACUUCGUGCCAGCCGCCGCAGUAA